rnacentral:sRNA from 1 species
GGAUGCAAAAGAAGUAGUUAGUCUAACCUUCGGGAGGACGAUUACCACGGUGUGGUUCAUGACUGGGGUGAAGUCGUAACAAGGUAGCCGUAGGGGAACCUGCGGCUGGAUCACCUCCUU